GACGAACGCUGGCGGCGUGCUUAACACAUGCAAGUCGAACGGAAAGGCCCUGCUUUUGUGGGGUGCUCGAGUGGCGAACGGGUGAGUAACACGUGAGUAACCUGCCCUUGACUUUGGGAUAACUUCAGGAAACUGGGGCUAAUACCGGAUCGGAGCUCCUGCUGCAUGGUGGGGGUUGGAAAGUUUCGGCGGUUGGGGAUGGACUCGCGGCUUAUCAGCUUGUUGGUGGGGUAGUGGCUUACCAAGGCUUUGACGGGUAGCCGGCCUGAGAGGGUGACCGGGCACAUUGGGACUGAGAUACGGCCCAGACUCCUACGGGAGGCAGCAGUGGGGAAUAUUGCACAAUGGGCGGAAGCCUGAUGCAGCAACGCCGCGUGCGGGAUGACGGCCUUCGGGUUGUAAACCGCUUUCGCCUGUGACGAAGCGUGAGUGACGGUAAUGGGUAAAGAAGCACCGGCUAACUACGU
rnacentral:rRNA from 1 species